rnacentral:lncRNA from 10 species
AAAAAAGUUGCUGGUAUUGAAGAUUUGCCCAUAAUACACUAAAAAGAACAUAAUUACAAUCACAUUAUCGUACUGAAGAAAACAAUUCUAUAUUACCUAUAUUCGUUUCAUUUUCAAAUUUCCAAUUGUUACAAGAAUUGUUAUAGUCAUUUUUGUUGAACUAGGAUGCAAAAAAAAUUAUUCAUACAUUGUAUUGGGUUGUCUCUUAAAUGUCUUUUAACCCCAGAAUGCCUACUCCUUCCUUUUUUGAAAUGACACUUACUGAAGAGCCCUGGCAGUUACGGAAUAUCACAGAUAUUCUGCUCACCUGAUUGUUUCUAAAUGUUAACUUGUGCCUCUACCCCCUCUCCAUUUCCUGUCAGCUGGAGGUCUAGAUGCUUGGUUAGAUUCCAGUCAACAAUUUCUUGGUGAGAUACUGCUGUGUUCUUGGUAUCAUCUUAGGAAGCACAGAAACAUCAGGCCGUCCCAUAAGUGACACUAGGUUUGAUCACUUGAUUAUGGUGGCGGCAGUCAGAUCUGUCAAUUGUGAAGAUUGGUGUUUUCCAAAUUAGGCGUGGUGGCUCACAUCUGCAGUCCCAGCUACUCAGGGGUGCUGAGGUGGGAAGAUCACUUGAGCCUGAGAAGUCGAGGCUGCAGUGAGCUGUGAUCACAUCACUGCACUCCGGCCUGGGGGACAAAGCGAGACGCCCCUCUCUAAAAUAAGUAAAGAUUGAUGUUUUCCUUUUGCAAGUGACCUGUGCAGCAACAUUUGAGUGUUGUGCUAAAAUUCUGUUCCUCAGCAGCCUUUUACCUGAAAGGUUUUGGCAUCCAGUGAUCUUUGCCUGGUCAGUUAUCUCAUUAAUGGGUUAAAAUGUUGGAACCUCUCAUGGCACAUGCUGAGCAGCCAGUAGUCUUCAGGACAAUGGAUUCUCUAGGUAAACUUGUCACCACACUGUUCCAAGUGAGGCUGGAAGACAGUUUGUCAACACCAUAUUUCAGGCUGGAGGUGGAAAGAAGCUGUUGAGGAAACUCCCUUUGCAAGCCCUACUCCCAGCUCCCAGCUGGUGAGACAAUUUACAUGGAAAAACCAUGAAUACAACACAAGAUCUGAAGUGUCUCCACCCUCUAGGCACCUAGGGAAAGCUUGGAUUUGCUUUGGUACACUGUCUAGUUGUACAGGAUCCCUGCAACUAGACAGGGCACGCGGCUCAGGGCCUAUAAUCCCAGUACUUGGCAAGGCCAAGGUGGGAGGAUCGCUUGAGGCCAGGAGUUGGAGACAAGCCUGGGCAACGUGAGACCGUCUCCACAAAAGAAGUUUUAAAAAUUAGCUGGGCAUGGUGGUGAGCUCCUGUAGUUCCAGGGACUUAGGAGGCUGGGGAGGGAGAAUUGCUUGAAGCCAGGAGGUCAAGGCUGCAGUGACCUAUGACGGCACCACUGCAAAAAUAAAGGCAGGCAGGAUGAUGUGUAAGAAUGGACAGAAUUUCAAAAUCAAAUUUCUAGAGAGCUUUUCAGAAUAAAAAGUUUGAAGAGUGAGACGGCAUCCUAAGAUAUUUCAUUUUAUAUUACAUAGUUAAGUUUCAAAUUAUUUUCUGGAGGAAAAUUAAACACCUUCUAAAAACCUAAAGGCAGAUGAAGCUCACAGGUGAAAGUCACUCCACUCUGGGGCUCCAGAAGGCUGAGUCUUAGUCAACAUGACUUUUUUUUUCUUUUCAGAGACAGGGUCUCAUUCUGUCACCCAGUCUGAAGUACAGUGGUACAAUCUUGGCUCACUGCACACCCCGCCUCCCAGGCUCAAGCGAUCCUCCUCCAUCAGCCUCCCGAAUAGCUGGGGCUACAGGCAAGUGCCACCAGGCUCAGCUACUUUUUGUAUUUUUUGUAGAGAUGGGGUUUUGCCAUGUUGCUCAGGCUGGUCUCAAACUCCUGGGCUCAAACGAUCCUCCUGCCUCAGCCUCUCAAAGUGCAAGGCUUAUGGGUGUGAGCCACCACACCCAGUCUUCUACAUGGUUUUUCUGAAAGCUCUGAUUACAUGCUGAAUUUACAAAUGGUGGAAAACAAGGAGUAAUGGUUAAUAAGCUGAAUGGUACAGUACAAAUUACACAAGGAACAAUACAUGAAUUAGAAAUUUAAAAUUUAGUUGAAAUAUAAAAUAAAUUAUUGCCAGAAACACAAAGGGCACAUGAAUACAAUAGGGGAAACAGCUUAAUGGCUUUCUGUUCUCUGAAAACUCAAGGCCCAUCUCUGAGUGAUAAGAGUACCCUAACAGGCAAAGCCCUCUGAGGUCCGGGACCAGGAAGACAGUGCUACUCCACCUACUGGCGGUCUGGCACUAUCUGUAGGCUGGAGUUGGGCUGGGGAUGGUACAUUCAAAAUGGACUUUGGUAAACUAGGGGACAACCCAGACAAACACUGCAGAAAGGAGGAAGGACUCCCUUUCCAGCAUCUCAAAUUCAAGGCUCCAAGUUACUGGGCUUGGGCAAAGUCACACAUUUUCUCAACAAAGGCCAACUGCUGACAAUCCAAAUUUUAAAAACACUGCCAUUAGGCCAGGCGCAGUGGCUCACGCCUGUAAUCCCAGCACUUUGGGAGGCUGAGGCAGGUGGAUCACGAGGUCAGGAGUUCCAGACCAGCCUGGCCAACAUAGUGAAACCCCAUCUCUACUAAAAAUACAAAAAAUUAGCUGAGCGUGGUGGAGGGCGCCUGUAAUCCCAGCUACAGGGGAGGCUGAGACAGGAGAAUCGCUUGCACCUGGAAGGCGGAGGCUGCAGUGAGCCAGGAUCGCGCCACUGCACUCCAGGCCAGAUGACAGUGUGAGGCUUCAUCUCAAAAACGAACAAAAAACCCACUGCCAUUAAAAGCUUUAUUUUAUUUACUUAUUUUUUAGAGACAGGGUCUUGCUAUGUUACCCAGGCUGGCCUUGAACUUCUGGGCUCCAGCCAUCCUCCUGCCUCAGCCUCCUGAGUAGCUGGAACACAGAUGUGCACCACCACCACACGCAGGAAGAGCUUUAUUUUAGAAAGUACUCUUCCUACAUGUGAAGUCUCCAAGAAUAAAGAAAAGAAAGUACUCGUCUUUGGCAAACAGUGGAGAUCUUCUGAACCUUUUUUGAGAUGGAGUUUCACUCAUCGCCCUGGCUGGAGUAGCAAUAGCACAAUCUUGGCUCACUGCAACCUCUGCCUCCCGGGUUCAAGCAAUUCUGCUGCCUUAGCCUCCUGAGUAGCUGGAAUUACAGGUGCCUGCCACCAGGCCCGGCUAAUUUUUUUUUUUUUUUUUAGUAGAGAUGGGGUUUCACCAUGUUGACCAGGUUGGUCUUGAACUACUGACCUCAGGUGAUCCACCUGCCUCAGCCUUCCAAAGUGCUGGGAUUACAGGCAUGAGCCACCGUGCCCGACCGAGUUCUUUUUUUAAUGAAAAGAAUUUGACAUUCCUGCAGUAGAUAUAAGGCAGCAGAAACAGGAACUGUGCAGGCAUGUGUAACAAGAAUGCAGAUGCCAUUUAUU